rnacentral:rRNA from 1 species
UCCAGACUCCUACGGGAGGCAGCAGUGAGGAAUAUUGGUCAAUGGGCGGGAGCCUGAACCAGCCAUGCCGCGUGAAGGCGAGUGCCCUACGGGCGUUAAACUUCUUUUGUGCGGGAGCAAUAAGGGCCACGCGUGGCCCGAUGAGAGUACCGCACGAAUAAGCAUCGGCUAACUCCGUGCCAGCAGCCGCGGUAAUACGGAGGAUGCGAGCGUUAUCCGGAUUUAUUGGGUUUAAAGGGUGCGUAGGCGGGCUGUUAAGUCAGCGGUAAAAGCCCGGGGCUCAACCCCGGCGAGCCGUCGGAACUGCCGGGCUAGAGUGGGCGAGAAGUGCGCGGAAUGCGUGGUGUAGCGGUGAAAUGCAUAGAUAUCACGCAGAACUCCGAUUGCGAAGGCAGCGCACCGGCGCCCUACUGACGCUCAGGCACGAAAGCGUGGGUAUCGAACAGGAUUAGAUACCCGCGUA